UACAGAGGGGGCAAGCGUUGUUCGGAAUUACUGGGCGUAAAGGGCGCGUAGGCGGCCUGUUAAGUCGGACGUGAAAUCCCCGGGCUCAACCCGGGAACUGCGUCCGAUACUGGCAGGCUUGAAUUCGGGAGAGGGAUGCGGAAUUCCAGGUGUAGCGGUGAAAUGCGUAGAUAUCUGGAGGAACACCGGUGGCGAAGGCGGCAUCCUGGACCGAGAUUGACGCUGAGGCGCGAAAGCCAGGGGAGCAAACGGG
rnacentral:rRNA from 1 species